GACGAACGCUGGCGGCGUGCCUAAUACAUGCAAGUCGAGCGAGUCUGCCUUGAAGAUCGGAGUGCUUGCACUCUGUGAAACAAGAUACAGGCUAGCGGAGGACGGGUGAGUAACACGUGGGUAACCUGCCCAAGAGAUCGGGAUAACACCUGGAAACAGAUGCUAAUACCGGAUAACAACAGAUGAUGCCUAUCAACUGUUUAAAAGAUGGUUCUGCUAUCACUCUUGGAUGGACCUGCGGUGCAUUAGCUAGUUGGUAGGGUAACGGCCUACCAAGGCGAUGAUGCAUAGCCGAGUUGAGAGACUGAUCGGCCACAUUGGGACUGAGACACGGCCCAAACUCCUACGGGAGGCAGCAGUAGGGAAUCUUCCACAAUGGACGCAAGUCUGAUGGAGCAACGCCGCGUGAGUGAAGAAGGGUUUCGGCUCGUAAAGCUCUGUUGUUGGUGAAGAAGGACAGGGGUAGUAACUGACCUUUGUUUGACGGUAAUCAAUUAGAAAGUCACGGCUAACUACGUG
rnacentral:rRNA from 1 species